ACUCAAAUGAAUUGACGGGGGCCCGCACAAGCAGCGGAGCGUGUGGUUUAAUUCGAGGCUACACGAAGAACCUUACCUGGGUUUGACAUGGCUCUGAACGCGGUGGAAACACCAAGGUUCGCAAGACAGAGUCACAGGUGCUGCAUGGCUGUCGUCAGCUCGUGCCGUGAGGUGUUAGGUUAAGUCCUGUAACGAGCGCAACCCCCGGGUCUAGUUACACGGUGUCUAGACCGACUGCCCGUGACAAGCGGGAGGAAGGUGGGGAUGACGUCAAGUCAGCAUGGCCUUUAUAUCCAGGGCUACACACACGCUACAAUGGCCGGUACAAUGGGUCGCCAAGCCGCAAGGCGGAGCCAAUCCAAUCAAAGCCGGUCUCAGUUCAGAUUGAGGGCUGCAACCCGCCCUCAUGAAGUCGGAGUUGCUAGUAACCGCAGGUCAGCUAUACUGCGGUGAAUACGUUCCCGGGCCUUGCACACACCGCCCGU
rnacentral:rRNA from 1 species